AAAAAAGCAUUUUCGAAUAUAUCAUAUUAUUCAUUUACUUAUCGCCCUUCUUUCCUUGCUGAUCCAGUACGUUAAAAAUUUUUUGUGUGGUUUAUUGCAUUGUUCCUGCUGGUACGUAAAUAGAUUAAGAAAACAAUAGGUAAAACCUUUUUUGGGGGUGUCCCGGGGUUACGGCGAUUGUUGACAUACACAAAACUAUACUUUGCUGUCAUUUUCACGUAGUCCUCUUCUACGGAACGUUGCACCCUACAUUUAACUUUUACUCUAUUCUUUUUCUUCUUG